rnacentral:rRNA from 1 species
CCUACGGGAGGCUGCAGUGAGGGAUAUUGCACAAUGGGGGGAACCCUGAUGCAGCGACGCCGCGUGGGUGAUGGAGCGUUUCGGCGCGUAAAGCUCUAUCGGCAGGGAAGAAGAUGACGGUACCUGACUAAGAAGCCCCGGCUAACUACGUGCCAGCAGCCGCGGUAAUACGUAGGGGGCAAGCGUUAUCCGGAUUUACUGGGUGUAAAGGGGGCGCAGGCGGCCAUGUAAGCCAGGAGUGAAAGCCCGGGGCCUCACCCCGGGAGAGCUGUUGAAACUGCAGGGCUGGAGUACAGGAGGGGUACGCGGAAUGCGUGGUGUAGCGGUGAAAUGCGUAGAUAUUAGGCGGAACCCCGGUGGCGAAGGCGGCGUACUGG